rnacentral:rRNA from 1 species
AUUGAACGCUGGCGGCAGGCCUAACACAUGCAAGUCGAGCGGAUGAAGGGAGCUUGCUCCUGGAUUCAGCGGUGGACGGGUGAGUAAUGCCUAGGAAUCUGCCUGGUAGUGGGGGAUAACGUCCGGAAACGGGCGCUAAUACCGCAUACGUCCUGAGGGAGAAAGUGGGGGAUCUUCGGACCUCACGCUAUCAGAUGAGCCUAGGUCGGAUUAGCUAGUUGGUGGGGUAAAGGCCUACCAAGGCGACGAUCCGUAACUGGUCUGAGAGGAUGAUCAGUCACACUGGAACUGAGACACGGUCCAGACUCCUACGGGAGGCAGCAGUGGGGAAUAUUGGACAAUGGGCGAAAGCCUGAUCCAGCCAUGCCGCGUGUGUGAAGAAGGUCUUCGGAUUGUAAAGCACUUUAAGUUGGGAGGAAGGGCAGUAAGUUAAUACCUUGCUGUUUUGACGUGACCAACAGAAUAAGCACCGGCUAACUUCGU